AUGGAACGCUGGCGGCGGUGCCUAACACAUGACAGUCGAGCGAGAAAGUCCCCUUCGGGGGACGAGUAAAGCGGCGCACGGGUGAGUAACGCGUGGGUAACCUGCCCUUGAGUGGGGGAUAACCAGCCGAAAGGCUGACUAAUCCCGCAUACGACCGGCAGACACAAGUCUGUCGGGGAAAGAUGGCCUCUGCUUGCAAGCUAUCGCUCUUGGAUGGGCCCGCGUUGGAUUAGCUAGUUGGUGGGGUAACGGCCUACCAAGGCUGCGAUCCAUAGCUGGUUUGAGAGGACGACCAGCCACACUGGAACUGAGACACGGUCCAGACUCCUACGGGAGGCAGCAGUGAGGAAUAUUGCGCAAUGGGGGAAACCCUGACGCAGCGACGCCGUGUGAGCGAUGAAGGCCUUCGGGUCGUAAAGCUCUGUCAGAGGGAAAGAAAGGGUCGGCGGAAUAAUACCCGCCGACAUUGACGGUACCCUCGGAGGAAGCACCGGCUAACUCCGUG
rnacentral:rRNA from 1 species